rnacentral:rRNA from 1 species
GAUGAACGCUGGCGGCGUGCUUAACACAUGCAAGUCGAACGAAGCAUAAUCAUGGAUUUCCUUCGGGGAUGAAGCGGCUAUGACUGAGUGGCGGACGGGUGAGUAACGCGUGGGCAACCUGCCCCAUACCGGGGGACAACAGCUGGAAACGGCUGCUAAUACCGCAUACGUUCCGGGGACCGCAUGGUACCUGGAAGAAAACUCCGGUGGUAUGGGAUGGGUCCGCGUCUGAUUAGCUGGUUGGCGGGGUAACGGCCCACCAAGGCGACGAUCAGUAGCCGGCCUGAGAGGGCGACCGGCCACAUUGGGACUGAGACACGGCCCAG